rnacentral:lncRNA from 1 species
GCUUGAUAAUUACAGCACAAAAUAAAAUAGUUAAGUGCAACUCAUUUGGGUCACAGAAAAGUUUAGCAGCAUCUUGAAACACUUAGCAAAAUCUCAACGAAGAAUAAAUACACAGAUUGUAUACAGGAGCUCUAUUAAUCAAGCUGAGCAUACCAGAUCCCCUGGAUCUUGACGUCCUUAGGAGUCUUUGCUCCCAGAUCAGUAUCAGAUGGCUGAAGACUCUCAAACACUCCUAUGAUCUCUCCAGUCUCAGGCUUGCUCUUGGUCACACUUAGGGUGAUUUUACCUGUUGAUGAUGCGGUGUUCUUGAUGUUUUCCUUGAGUAGUUCCUCCUCAUCUCCUCUGCCUCCAGCAGGCAAUGCAACUGCAUUGUCAUAACCGGUUGAGCCACCUCUUCCCUUUGGGUCCAAGAAAGAUGAACCUCGGUAGGAUGGUACAAGGAACUCUCCACUGAAGCUCUCUGGUUUUCCUGAUGCUGCUAAUUGUUUAAUGG